rnacentral:rRNA from 1 species
CAGCAGCCGCGGGAAUGCGAAGGGGGCUAGCGUUGUUCGGAAUUACUGGGCGUAAAGGGCGCGUAGGCGGCCAUUCAAGUUAGAUGUGAAAGCCCUGGGCUCAACCUAGGAAUUGCAUUUGAUACUGUUUGGCUUGAGCUCGGGAGAGGUGAGUGGAAUUCCCAGUGUAGAGGUGAAAUUCGUAGAUAUUGGGAAGAACACCGGUGGCGAAGGCGGCGACCUGGUCCAUAACUGACGCUGAGGCGCGAAAGCGUGGGGAGCAAACAGGAUUAGAUACCCCCGUAGUCCCUGUCUCUUAUAC